rnacentral:rRNA from 1 species
GCCCGCAAGGGCGCAUGGUGGAUGCCUUGGCAGACAGUACCGACGAAGGACGUUUGAGGAUGCGAUAAGCCUCGGGGAGCCUCCAGCAUGGCUUCGAUCCGAGGAUCUCCGAAUGGGGCAACCCGCCGGCCGUCAUGGGCCGGCACCGCAGGCUUCUGCGGGGGGUACGCAGGGAAGUGAAACAUCUCAGUACCUGCAGGAAGGGAUACUCCGUGAGUAGUGGCGAGCGAAAGCGGAUCAGACCAAACCGCGUGCGCGUGAUACCCGUCGGGGGUUGCGUGCGCGGUGUUGAGGGAGCGCGUGUCCCGGUUCCGACGGACCGGGCGGGAGUCAUAAAACGGCUUGCCAGGGGAACAGGCUUGAAGGCCUGGCCGCAGAGGGUGCCAGCCCCGUACCUGGACGCUUGCCGUCUUCCGAUCGCGUGUCCCAAGUAGCGCGGGCCUCGUGGAAUCCCGCGUGAAUCCGCACCGACCGUGGUGUAAGUCUAAGCAUACCUGUCUGACCGAUAGCGUACCAGUACCGUGAGGGAAAGGUGAAAAGCACCCCGGGAGGGGAGUGAAAGAGUUCCUGAAACCGUGCGCCUACGAUCCGUCGGAGCCUCCUUGUGGGGUGACGGCGUGCCUAUCGAAAAAUGAGUCUGCGAGUCAGUGAUGCGUGGCGAGGCUAACCCGUCGUGGGGCAGCCGUAGCGAAGGCGAGUCCGAACAGGGCGUUUCUAUAGUCGCGUGUCCUGGACCCGAAGCGGGAUGAUCUAGCCCUGGGCAGGUUGAAGCGCGGGUAAGACCGCGUGGAGGACCGAACCCACCUGGGUUGAAAACCGGGGGGAUGACCUGGGGCUAGGGGUGAAAGGCCAAUCAAAUUCCGUGAUAGCUGGUUCUCUCCGAAAUGCAUUUAGGUGCAGCGUCGGCUUAUUGCAUCGCGGGGGUAGAGCUACCGGAUGCUUGCGGGCCCUUGUGGGGUACCAACAGCAGCCGAACUCCGAAUACCGUUGAUGUGUAUGCCGGCAGUGAGUCGGCGGGGGAUAAGCUCCGUCGUCGAGAGGGAGACAGCCCAGACCGUCGUCCGAGGUCCCCAAGCGUGUGCUAAGUGGGAAAGGAUGUGGGGCCGCAUAGACAGCCAGGAGGUUGGCUCAGAAGCAGCCAUCCUUGAAAGAGUGCGUAACAGCUCACUGGUCUAGUGGUCCCGCGCCGACAAUGUAGCGGGGCUCAAGCACACCACCGAAGACGCGGCGGCGCGUGUAUGCGCGCCGGGUAGGAGAGCGUCCUGCAAGGGGCGAAGCGGCCGGGUGACCGUGCCGUGGACUUUGCGGGAGUGAGAAUGCAGACAUGAGUAGCGAGAGACGGGUGAGGAUCCCGUCCGCCGGAUGACCAAGGGUUCCGGGGCCACGUUCGUCGUCCCCGGGUGAGUCGGGUCCUAAGGCGAGGCCGACAGGCGUAGUCGAAUGGAUGAACGGGUGGAUAUUCCCGUACCGGCAGCGAACCGACAGGACCGAGGCGGUGAGUACUAACCUCCGUCGCGGGCCGUUCCCCUCCUUCGGGUGGGGUCCGGCGCGUGGCGUUGGGAGCGUAGCCGUGGUAGGUGAGCGCAGGGGUGACACGGAAUGGGAGCCGGCCGCGGAGGUGGUUUUCCGUGGUCAAGCACGCAGCCGGUCGCACAGGCAAAUCCGUGCGGCGCGUACGGCGAGGUGCGAUGAUGGGAGCCGUUUCGGCUCGAUAUCCGGUGGUCCAGGCCGUCGAGAAAAGCCCCGGCGUCAGGCGCGUUGCCGCCCGUACCCCAAACCGACACUGGUGGUCAGGUAGAGAAUACCAAGGCGAUCGAGCGAAUCCUGGUCAAGGAACUCGGCAAACCGCUCCCGUGCCUUCGGCAUAAGGGAGACCCCCGCGGGUGAACGGACAUGCUCCGGGAGCGUGUGGGGGUGGCACAGACCAGGGGGUAGCGACUGUUUACCAAAAACACAGGUGCAUGCGAAGGCGUAAGCCGCUGUAUAUGCACUGACGCCUGCCCGGUGCCGGAAGGUUA